rnacentral:rRNA from 1 species
UACCAGCACCCCGAGUGUUCGGGACGAUUAUUGGGCCUAAAGCAUCCGUAGCCGGUUCUGCAAGUCUCCCGUUAAAUCCAACUGCUCAACAGGUGGGCUGCGGAGGAUACUACAGAGCUAGGAGGCAGGAGAGGCAAGCGGUACUCAGUGGGUAGGGGUAAAAUCCGUUGAUCCAUUGAAGACCACCAGUGGCGAAGGCGGCUUGCCAGAAUGCGCUCGACGGUGAGGGAUGAAAGCUGGGGGAGCAAACCGG